UAUAAUUAUGCUCCAUGAAUUAGUUAGGAGUUAAAUUUUCUAGUAGAGUGUGGCUCAGUGUCACAUCUAGAGCACAGGUAGCCAAGUCACCCCCAGAAGUGCUGGGAGAAUCUCUUCUAACCAAGAAGAAAGCAAAUGUUAUAUAUCAAUAUAGCAAUUAAAAUAAAGCAAUUGUCAUUUAAUAAACUCAUUUUCCCCAUAAAUUAAUGACUCACUUGCAUGUAUAAAGGGAAUAAACUGACUUGAAUUGGUUCAGCAGAGAAGAGCACUACAGCCACACACAGCAUCAUGAAUGAGCCUUAGGGACACAAUAGACAGACUGACAGCUGACUACAGACCCAUGAGAAGACAGUCAGAACUCAGAACAACUUCCCACCAUGUAAUCCCACUAGUAAUAAAUGCAUCAUAUUAAACCAUUUGCUUCUAGAAUGACAGUAUGCAACAACAGAUAACUGAUAACAACAAUCAGAGUGAACAGAACUGAAGGAAAAUAUCAUAAUCAGCCACUUGUCACUGUAGGCCUUUGUUCCAAAGUUGAAGAUGACAUUCAUGAUUAUUCCUACUGAAGUUUAUUUCAGAAAACUGCAUUGAAAAGUGACUCCAUCAGAUUCCUUUGUAAGUAAAACAGGAGAGGUUGGAAGAACAUGUAUGCUUGGCUGACACGUAUGACUAUGAGUCACAGAACUGACAGGAAUUCAAGCUCUCUGGCGAGUCAUUGUUUGGCCAUUUAUGUACAUAUAUGACAUAUCUAUAGAUCACACAUAUAAUAGAUAUACUGUAUGAGAUUGAUAUAGUUCUUUCCGUAUGUCUCCAGUGAUUACAACAAUAUUUAGAGUAGUGGGAGAUGCUUCAUUUUGAACAAUAGAGGGAAUCAUAGUUUUAAGCAACAAUGGAAGUUUUCAAGUGGAGGCUGAAAGAUCAUUCAAAGGAAACAUAAUUACGCCAAGCAAUACUUCAUCCCAAGCAUAAAUUCCUUUACACACAGACACAGAUCUUAUAUACAUCAAUAAGUAAACAUACACCAUACAAAUAGUUUACAUAGUAAUAAAUGCAUGACUUAAAAUUUUGCUUCUUCACACUUCAGGUUGUCUUUGCCUGUAAGCACAUAUUACGUCAAACUAUGUUAUGGUAGUGAGAUAUGAAGAAAUGAUGUACAAGAAGUGUUAAACUGUGCUCUUCUAGUUUCCUCUCCUAUGAAAUGAUAUAAAUGGCUUUGGUUACCAAGUGCAGUGUAAUUCCAUAGAAGUAGUACCAAUCAAGAUUUUUCUUUCAGUGAAACAAAAGAAAAAUUAUUCAGUAUGAUAUAUUUCAUUUCAAAAGAAAUUGUUCUUAAGAAAUUCACAUAGUUCCAUGAGAUAAAUGGCAGUAUUCAAAUAGUUCAUCCAAGGCUGGGAAUCAAUUUGGGAGAGGAGAAAA